rnacentral:rRNA from 2 species
GCGGUCUAUACAUGCAGUCGAGCGAAUGGAUUAAGAGCUUGCUCUUAUGAAGUUAGCGGCGGACGGGUGAGUAACACGUGGGUAACCUACCCAUAAGACUGGGAUAACUCCGGGAAACCGGGGCUAAUACCGGAUAAUAUUUUGAACUGCAUAGUUCGAAAUUGAAAGGCGGCUUCGGCUGUCACUUAUGGAUGGACCCGCGUCGCAUUAGCUAGUUGGUGAGGUAACGGCUCACCAAGGCGACGAUGCGUAGCCGACCUGAGAGGGUGAUCGGCCACACUGGGACUGAGACACGGCCCAGACUCMUACGGGAGGCAGCAGUAGGGAAUCUUCCGCAAUGGACGAAAGUCUGACGGAGCAACGCCGCGUGAGUGAUGAAGGCUUUCGGGUCGUAAAACUCUGUUGUUAGGGAAGAACAAGUGCUAGUUGAAUAAGCUGGCACCUUGACGGUACCUAACCAGAAAGCCACGGCUAACUACGUGCCAGCAGCCGCGGUAAUACGUAGGUGGCAAGCGUUAUCCGGAAUUAUUGGGCGUAAAGCGCGCGCAGGUGGUUUCUUAAGUCUGAUGUGAAAGCCCACGGCUCAACCGUGGAGGGUCAUUGGAAACUGGGAGACUUGAGUGCAGAAGAGGAAAGUGGAAUUCCAUGUGUAGCGGUGAAAUGCGUAGAGAUAUGGAGGAACACCAGUGGCGAAGGCGACUUUCUGGUCUGUAACUGACACUGAGGCGCGAAAGCGUGGGGAGCAAACAGGAUUAGAUACCCUGGUAGUCCACGCCGUAAACGAUGAGUGCUAAGUGUUAGAGGGUUUCCGCCCUUUAGUGCUGAAGUUAACGCAUUAAGCACUCCGCCUGGGGAGUACGGCCGCAAGGCUGAAACUCAAAGGAAUUGACGGGGGCCCGCACAAGCGGUGGAGCAUGUGGUUUAAUUCGAAGCAACGCGAAGAACCUUACCAGGUCUUGACAUCCUCUGAAAACUCUAGAGAUAGAGCUUCUCCUUCGGGAGCAGAGUGACAGGUGGUGCAUGGUUGUCGUCAGCUCGUGUCGUGAGAUGUUGGGUUAAGUCCCGCAACGAGCGCAACCCUUGAUCUUAGUUGCCAUCAUUAAGUUGGGCACUCUAAGGUGACUGCCGGUGACAAACCGGAGGAAGGUGGGGAUGACGUCAAAUCAUCAUGCCCCUUAUGACCUGGGCUACACACGUGCUACAAUGGACGGUACAAAGAGCUGCAAGACCGCGAGGUGGAGCUAAUCUCAUAAAACCGUUCUCAGUUCGGAUUGUAGGCUGCAACUCGCCUACAUGAAGCUGGAAUCGCUAGUAAUCGCGGAUCAGCAG